GUGAAUUUUGCCACUUCAACAAUUUCUGAGCCAAAAUCGUGAAUUGGGAUUACAAUUGGAGGUUUUGACAAAGUGCCGAAUCAGUUCUUAACUGUAGACUAAUAAUUGUUAAUGUAGUGCCUGACAAGAGUGCAAAAAAAAAACUCUGCAAAUUGCAAACUUAUAAUCACGACUUGCAGAGCAUGUUGUGACUUUUGAAGCAGGCUGCAAAUGUGUGAAGAGUGUGUUGGCUAUUUGUUUGGUUGGAUCAAAUUCAAAAUGAUUGGGUUUGUGUGUGUUCAACUUAUUUCCUUUCUUUCUCAUAUUAAUUACUGGGUGCAUCACUGCAUUGAAUCUUAAUUACACUUAAAGGGCCGUUCAAAAUGUGAAUUCUCAUUAAGAUAGAUAACUACUUCCAAACUUUUAAUUUUCUAUUUUUUUAUUUUAUAUAUAGAUUUUUAAAAAGCAUCUAAUAUAAAUUUGAUUUCAUAUAAAAACAAAUUUAAUAAUCAUUAAAUUAUUAAAAUUUAUACAGAAUCAAUUAAGUAUGUAUAUUUAUUAAAAGUUCAAGGUGCACUAAGGCACCAAGGGGUAUUGGAGCCUAGGCACAAGGCACAGGCCCACGCUUGAGCGAGAUGAGGUGCAAAAAAAUAAAAAAAUAAAAUAAA
rnacentral:misc_RNA from 1 species